CAGUGGCGAACGGGUGAGUAACACGUGAGCAACCUGCCCCGGACUCUGGGAUAAGCGCUGGAAACGGCGUCUAAUACUGGAUACGAGACGUGAUCGCAUGGUCAACGUUUGGAAAGAUUUUUCGGUCUGGGAUGGGCUCGCGGCCUAUCAGCUUGUUGGUGAGGUAAUGGCUCACCAAGGCGUCGACGGGUAGCCGGCCUGAGAGGGUGACCGGCCACACUGGGACUGAGACACGGCCCAGACUCCUACGGGAGGCAGCAGUGGGGAAUAUUGCACAAUGGGCGGAAGCCUGAUGCAGCAACGCCGCGUGAGGGACGACGGCCUUCGGGUUGUAAACCUCUUUUAGCAGGGAAGAAGCGAAAGUGACGGUACCUGCAGAAAAAGCGCCGGCUAACUACGUGCCAGCAGCCGCGGUAAUACGUAGGGCGCAAGCGUUAUCCGGAAUUAUUGGGCGUAAAGAGCUCGUAGGCGGUCUGUCGCGUCUGCUGUGAAAACCCGAGGCUCAACCUCGGGCCUGCAGUGGGUACGGGCAGACUAGAGUGCGGUAGGGGAGAUUGGAAUUCCUGGUGUAGCGGUGGAAUGCGCAGAUAUCAGGAGGAACACCGAUGGCGAAGGCAGAUCUCUGGGCCGUAACUGACGCUGAGGAGCGAAAGGGUGGGGAGCAAACAGGCUUAGAUACCCUGGUAGUCCACCCCGUAAACGUUGGGAACUAGUUGUGGGGUCCUUUCCACGGAUUCCGUGACGCAGCUAACGCAUUAAGUUCCCCGCCUGGGGAGUACGGCCGCAAGGCUAAAACUCAAAGGAAUUGACGGGGACCCGCACAAGCGGCGGAGCAUGCGGAUUAAUUCGAUGCAACGCGAAGAACCUUACCAAGGCUUGACAUACACGAGAACGCUGCAGAAAUGUAGAACUCUUUGGACACUCGUGAACAGGUGGUGCAUGGUUGUCGUCAGCUCGUGUCGUGAGAUGUUGGGUUAAGUCCCGCAACGAGCGCAACCCUCGUUCUAUGUUGCCAGCACGUAAUGGUGGGAACUCAUGGGAUACUGCCGGGGUCAACUCGGAGGAAGGUGGGGAUGACGUCAAAUCAUCAUGCCCCUUAUGUCUUGGGCUUCACGCAUGCUACAAUGGCCGGUACAAAGGGCUGCAAUACCGUGAGGUGGAGCGAAUCCCAAAAAGCCGGUCCCAGUUCGGAUUGAGGUCUGCAACUCGACCUCAUGAAGUCGGAGUCGCUAGUAAUCGCAGAUCAGCAACGCUGCGGUGAAUACGUUCCCGGGUCUUGUACACACCGCCCGUCAAGUCAUGAAAGU
rnacentral:rRNA from 1 species